rnacentral:rRNA from 1 species
CUGACAGUCAUGCCGCGUGCGGGAGGAGGCCCUAUGGGCUGUGAACCGCUUUUGCCUGGGGGCAAUAAGGGCGUCGCGCACGUCCGAUGAGAGUACCAGGCGAAUAAGCAUCGGCUAACUCCGUGCCAGCAGCCGCGGUAAUACGGGGGAUGCGAGCGUUAUCCGGAUUCAUUGGGUUUAAAGGGUGCGUAGGCUGUGCGUCAAGUCGGGGGUGAAAUUCCGGUGCUCAACACCGGGGCUGCCCUUGAUACUGUCGCGCUGGAGUGCGGAUGCCGCCGGAGGAAUGAGUGGUGUAGCGGUGAAAUGCUUAGAUAUCACUCAGAACACCGAUUGCGAAGGCAUCUGGCGAAUCCGUAACUGACGCUGAGGCACGAAAGCGUGGGGAUAGAACAGGAUUAGAUACCCUGGUAUUCCACGCCGUAAACGAUGAUGGCUAACCGCCGGCGACACACUGUCGGUGGCCAAGCGAAAGCGAUAAGCCAUCCACCUGGGGAGUACGUCGGCAACG